GCCGGGGAUUGCGUAAUUGGCUUGCGCAGCGGGCUGAUAACCCGCCGUCCGUGAGGAUAUGCGGGUUCAAUUCCCGUCCCCGGCG
rnacentral:tRNA from 1 species